rnacentral:ncRNA from 1 species
GUUAUUCGAGGUGGAAGAUUUCGUACAAUCCACACGCCGAUGGUACUGACAGGGGAAUCCCGAGAGAUGCAGGAGAUUUGUCCCCCUGCCGAAUAAC